rnacentral:rRNA from 1 species
AUUGAACGCUGGCGGCAGGCCUAACACAUGCAAGUCGAACGGGUGGCGGACGGGCGAGUAAUGUAGGGGCAACUGCCUGAUGGAGGGGGCUAACUGCUGGAACAGGUAGAUAAUACUGCAUACCAUCAGAUGUGCCCAGAUGGGAUGAGCUAGUGGGUGGGGAAACGGCUCACCAAGGGGAAGAUCCCUAGCUGGCCUGAGAGGAUGACCGGCCACACUGGGACUGAGACACGGUCCAGACUCCUACGGGAGGCAGCAGUGGGGAAUAUUGCACAAGGGGCGAAAGCCUGAGGCAGCCAUGCCGCGUGAAUGAAGAAGGCCUUCGGGUUGUAAAGCACUUUCAGCGGGGAGGCGUUACCCGCAGAGGAAGCACCGGCUAACUCCGUGCCAGCCGCCGCGGUAAUUC